rnacentral:rRNA from 1 species
AUUGAACGCUGGCGGCAGGCCUAACACAUGCAAGUCGAGCGGAUGACGGGAGCUUGCUCCUUGAUUCAGCGGCGGACGGGUGAGUAAUGCCUAGGAAUCUGCCUGGUAGUGGGGGACAACGUUUCGAAAGGAACGCUAAUACCGCAUACGUCCUACGGGAGAAAGCAGGGGACCUUCGGGCCUUGCGCUAUCAGAUGAGCCUAGGUCGGAUUAGCUAGUUGGUGGGGUAAUGGCUCACCAAGGCGACGAUCCGUAACUGGUCUGAGAGGAUGAUCAGUCAAACGGGAACUGAGACACGGUCCAGACUCCUACGGGAGGCAGCAGUGGGGAAUAUUGGACAAUGGGCGAAAGCCUGAUCCAGCCAUGCCGCGUGUGUGAAGAAGGUCUUCGGAUUGUAAAGCACUUUAAGUUGGGAGGAAGGGCAGUAAGCUAAUAUCUUGCUGUUUUGACGUUACCGACAGAAUAAGCACCGGCUAACUCUGUGCCAGCAGCCGCCGUAA